ensembl:lncRNA
GUGGGUGAGCUGCAGUGGGGGGGGCUGCAGGGCGCGGCCAGGCGGUCCAGGUGGGCCAUGAUGACCACGGCGGUCUGCCGUAGGUCGAUGGCCAGCUCGUUGUCCUGGGGCAGCGUCAGGUAGCGCAGGAAGCACUCGUUGGGGCUCAGCGGCGCCGUCAGGAUCUUGAGGAUAGGAGAUCAGACUCUUUAAUAAGAGCUGCGGACUAUAACUUUACACCCUGACCGCGACACUACCCUGUGUUGGCCGUGUACCUCUGGCUGGUCGUCGGGUAUGGGCUCCUCCUUGUUGUUGUGAAUGCUCUGGAAGCGCUGGAGGAGGGGCAGCAGUGGGGCGCUGGUGCCCUGCGUGGAGCGCUCGUUGUCCAUCUCCCGCGUGCCGUUGCCCCACAGACGCAGCAGCAGCAGCACCGCCGACAGCAGCUGGCUGGAGGACGGUGGGACCCAGAGGAAGAGAGUACUGUCUAUUGGACCACAGUGACAGCAGGACCGCUGGCCACAUGAGUAUGACUACAACAGCGUGUUCCCCUGUCCUGAUUGGUUCGGAUAAGAGCCAUGAGAUGUCACUCGCCAUGUAUUAGUGUGCCAUCACAAUGUGGGCGUAUCUAUGUAGCAUCGGGCAGCAAGAGGUCACGUCAACACGCGAGAUUGGACACUCCACUCCAGUUGUGAAGUCACAAAAGCGGACGAUUUUGAAACGGAUUAUAAUGCCUCACAUCCGAAAAAGGUAAGCAUCCGCUCCUACUUGUGACAUCACAAAGCGAUUGAUUUUUUUUAAAUGUCUUUUACUUUGAAAUUUAUCACCAUCUCAACAUGGCACCUGGUAGUGAAACAGGGGCCCUUUACGCAGCAGGGUAGAACCAAGCCCUACCUCAGGGUCCCCCUCUGCACAGCCAGCUCCAGGAGUAUAGCCAGAGCAAGGUGCUGGUCCUGCAGGGGAAUGUUGCCUUUGGCACUGGCACUUCCAUGGACAUCACUGGUUCCCCGCAAGACGGCAUCAGAACACAUGACACACAGGUUACACACAUAUCACCACAAUGAGUGAAUGAAAGAAAAAAGUAUUUGGAAGUGCACUGAAGUACGCGGCGCUGUAUUGUAGCACGCUGUGGGUAUGGAGCCUCUCUCGUCGGCACCUCACCUGAGGAACUUGGCGGCCCGUUCGACCACCUCCAGCCACACGGAGGAGACUGUGCCCUCGUCGAACAGUGUGGCCUCGGGCAGGGCCCGCAACGCGUCCAGAGACUCCUGGAGCAGCUCGCUGCACAGCAUCCUCAUGCACCGUAUCGUCCCUGUACCUAUUCCCAUAACCCCCCACACCCUGAAUGCCAUGUCCCCGCCGGCGCCGGGCCGCACGUGGGGAGCCGCCCGCUCUGUGUUCCAG